UACGGGGGGAGCAAGCGUUGUUCGGAUUUACUGGGCGUAAAGGGCGCGUAGGCGGCCGGCACAAGUCAGUUGUGAAAUCUCCGAGCUUAACUCGGAAAGGUCAACUGAUACUGUGCGGCUAGAGUGCGGAAGGGGCAACUGGAAUUCUUGGUGUAGCGGUGAAAUGCGUAGAUAUCAAGAGGAACACCUGCGGCGAAGGCGGGUUGCUGGGCCGACACUGACGCUGAGGCGCGAAAGCCAGGGGAGCGAACGGG
rnacentral:rRNA from 1 species